CUGUGCCAGGUUUUUGAUACCGGGGCGCAUGAGCAACGUCAACCUGAGGAGCAGAGACAUGAAACUCGGCCACCAUGGAGCACUUGGCCGCUGUGCUGUUUCACAGUGGCCAGCCUGACAGAAAGAACCUAGAAACUACCUCUACAAGGAGACUCCAGCACUCCAGAACCCGGUAACAUGGUGACGCGGAUAUAAGGAUGAUAUUGGACCUCUGAAAAACCAAAUGAUAUAAUGGAAAUAACAUAACUCCCAACCUCCUA